rnacentral:misc_RNA from 1 species
GCAAAAGAAUGUACAAGCAUUUCAGUACAUUGAAAAAAUAAGCAAAUAAACAGCAAGAAGAGAAAUGGAACUUCUUUUCCAAAAUAAAUAAUAGGUAAACGAGUAAAAUAAGUUGUUAAGAAGGGGAGGGAGAAACCAGCAGUUCAGUAUCAACAAGCCAGCCUGCUCAAGGCAGUCCUUGACUCCUAGUCAUAUAAUGAGAAGUUGAAGUCUCUGAAGAGUUCAGUUUUUAGCAAAGUCAACUGAUGGUAAAGCACAGCACUCUUACAAGGCUUGUAAAUUAUAUUAAUUUACUUAAUAUAUGAGGUCUUGCAUGGUAGGCACAGAAAUUAUGUGAUUGCUAGUAGAAACUAGAGUAUUAAUGUCCCAAAACCAAGAAAAUAAUGAAUUAAU